UACAGCCAUAUCACAUUGAAACACCAGUUACCGUAUGAUCAGCGAAGUUAAGCAACAUCGAGCCUGGUCAGUACAUAGAUGGUUGACCGCUUGGGAAUACCAAGUGCUGA